UACGGGGGGGGCAAGCGUUGUUCGGAAUUACUGGGCGUAAAGGGCUCGUAGGCGGCCAACUAAGUCAGACGUGAAAUCCCUCGGCUUAACCGGGGAACUGCGUCUGAUACUGGAUGGCUUGAGAUUGGGAGAGGGAUGCGGAAUUCCAGGUGUAGCGGUGAAAUGCGUAGAUAUUCGCAAGAACACCAGUGGCGAAGGCGGCUCACUGGCCCGGUACUGACGCUGAGGCACGAAAGCGUGGGGAGCAAACAGG
rnacentral:rRNA from 1 species